rnacentral:rRNA from 1 species
UUGUCUCAAAGAUUAAGCCAUGCAUGUCUCAGUACAAACCAAAACAAGGUGAAACCGCGAAAGGCUCAUUAAAUCAGUUAUGGUUCCUUAGAUCGUACCACAUUUACUUGGAUAACUGUGGUAAUUCUAGAGCUAAUACAUGCAAACAGAGCUCCGACCGGAGACGGAAGGAGUGCUUUUAUUAGAUCAAAACCAAUCGGCGGCGCGCCGGUUCGCCGGCGUCGUCCGCCGAAAUAACUGGUGACUCUGAAUAACUUUAUGCUGAUCGCACGGUCUCGCACCGGCGACGCAUCUUUCAAAUGUCUGCCUUAUCAACUGUCGAUGGUAGGUUCUGCGCCUACCAUGGUUGUAACGGGUAACGGGGAAUCAGGGUUCGAUUCCGGAGAGGGAGCCUGAGAAACGGCUACCACAUCCAAGGAAGGCAGCAGGCGCGCAAAUUACCCACUCCCGGCACGGGGAGGUAGUGACGAAAAAUAACGAUACGGGACUCAUCCGAGGCCCCGUAAUCGGAAUGAGAACACUUUAAAUCCUUUAACAAGGACCAAUUGGAGGGCAAGUCUGGUGCCAGCAGCCGCGGUAAUUCCAGCUCCAAUAGCGUAUAUUAAAGUUGUUGCGGUUAAAAAGCUCGUAGUUGAAUCUGUGUCCCGCGCUGUCGGUUCACCGCCCGCGGUGUUCAACCGGCACGUCGCGGGACGUCCUGCCGGUGGGACCGCUGCAGUCCGGCAACCGGCGCUCGGUGUCUCGCCCCCGCUGGCUCGGGUUGUCCAACCGUCGCGCUCACGCGCUUCGGCGGCACCCGGCUAAGUCACGGGUGUGCGUGCCCGUUCGUCGGCCCGGCGCUGACCGACCCGACUAUCUCGCCGUGGUGCUCUUGACUGAGUGUCUCGGCGGGCCGGCACGUUUACUUUGAACAAAUUAGAGUGCUCAAAGCAGGCCGAAAGUACGCCUGAAUAUUGUGUGCAUGGAAUAAUGAAACAGGACCUCGGUUCUAUUUUGUUGGUUUCCGGAAUCCCGAGGUAAUGAUUAAUAGGGACAGAUGGGGGCAUUCGUAUUGCGACGUUAGAGGUGAAAUUCUUGGACCGUCGCAAGACGGACAGAAGCGAAAGCAUUUGCCAAAGAUGUUUUUCAUUAAUCAAGAACGAAAGUCAGAGGUUCGAAGGCGAUCAGAUACCGCCCUAGUUCUGACCAUAAACGAUGCCAGCUAGCGAUCCGCCGAAGUUCCUCCGAUGACUCGGCGGGCAGCUUCCGGGAAACCAAAGCUUUUGGGUUCCGGGGGAAGUAUGGUUGCAAAGCUGAAACUUAAAGGAAUUGACGGAAGGGCACCACCAGGAGUGGAGCCUGCGGCUUAAUUUGACUCAACACGGGAAACCUCACCAGGCCCAGACACCGGAAGGAUUGACAGAUUGAGAGCUCUUUCUUGAUUCGGUGGGUGGUGGUGCAUGGCCGUUCUUAGUUGGUGGAGCGAUUUGUCUGGUUAAUUCCGAUAACGAACGAGACUCUGGCCUGCUAACUAGGCGUACAUUUCCGGCAUCUCGAAGGCUCCGCGCCCCGGUGGCGGUCGUGCCGCGGCCCGACGUCCGUUCGGCACAUGUGUCGUUCGGCGGCGGUAGUCGCGCGCGCGUGCUCGCUGUCGCGGGUGGCGGGUUUUUACUGCCGGCGUACAUAUGAAUCUUCUUAGAGGGACAGGCGGCUUCUAGCCGCACGAGAUUGAGCAAUAACAGGUCUGUGAUGCCCUUAGAUGUUCUGGGCCGCACGCGCGCUACACUGAAGGAAUCAGCGUGUCCUCCCUGGCCGAACGGUCCGGGUAACCCGCUGAACCUCCUUCGUGCUAGGGAUUGGGGCUUGCAAUUGUUCCCCAUGAACGAGGAAUUCCCAGUAAACGCGAGUCAUAAGCUCGCGUUGAUUACGUCCCUGCCCUUUGUACACACCGCCCGUCGCUACUACCGAUUGAAUGAUUUAGUGAGGUCUUCGGACCGGUACGCGGCGGCGCCUUUGGCGUCGCCGCUGUCUCUGGAAGAUGACCGAACUUGCUCAUUU